CUGCAGAGAGAUGCGUAUCAGCAUUUAAAAUCUUUAUGUGCAUCAAGACCAAAAAACCUUGCAAAUCAAAAGCUCAAAUAGCUUUGAAAAGGGACUAUAACUCAUAUUCCAAAUGCUGACUCUGAAGCCUUCUAUACCAGAGAGGUUUGGGACUCUGUGGGGGUUAAAUUGUAUAAUGCUAUCUCUCGGCGUGACAAAACAACAGCAGAACUUCUCCCUGCUUGCCGAGUCCUAGUGGAAAUCUGCCAUGAAUGCCCUGCCGCCACGCCCCUCUCCGCCCCCACUGCACCUGAACUCUCACAGCCACAGCCUCGGCCAGCUUCUCCAGCUGUGAGAGUGGGGGGAAGAAGAAAGGGGGGAAGGGAACAGAAACUGCUGCUGCUCCGGCCCAGAGAAGGAUCCCGAAUCCUGGAUCCCGUUGCCCUUCUGCCUGUGCUGGGGAAAGGCGCCGCCGUCCCAGCCUGCCCCAUCCCGGCCUGCUCGCACCGCCGGCUCCCGCAGCCCCGCGCUCGGCCCUGGCUCCGGCCCCGCAGGGCUCUGACCUGCACGGCGGGGCCGGCCUGGGCUCCAUGGCCAAGGUGCACGGAAGUUGGAAGUUAACUUCGCUGGGACCUGCAUCUCAUCGCUGGGCAGGUCGCCACCGGCAACAAGAACCACUGAAAGAGACAAAAAUCAUCCCCCAGAUCUCCUACUCCUACAGCUUUGGAGAAAAUUACCAAUGCUCUGCAAAACAGACAAGCACAUUGUUAGGUUCCAGAUAAACCUUUUUUCCUUGCAGUUCUAGGAGAAACACUGAGACUGUAUGGCUUCAUCUUCCAUUGGGACUCUUCUCAAAAUAAUCCUUUGUUAAUAAUUGAAUGGCUUUUUCUUUCUUACAGGUCACCAAAGACAAUCACUUUUAGAGAUGAUUUCUCAAACUGUCAUUAAGGGCAAGGUGUCUGCCUUGAUGUUCACCAGGGUCUUCCCUGUUUGUGGCCAUCCACUGCCGUGCUCAGUACGCAGCCAGUCGUAUUUGCACAUGAGCUGCCAUAGGAGGACACACAGAGGGUGAACCUCGUUUUUCACAAUGGGGAUAAAAUGGGGCAUGGGGUGCUCAAAUGCCUCAAGAAAGCACCAAAACAACCCAAGCACCACAUUCCCCUCAUGCCUGGGCUGGCAGCCCAGCAGCUCAAGUAGAAGAGUCUUCCAGGAGCUCAGGGGGAGCAGCAGCCCUUGUGCUGAGGCACAGCCUGUGGAGAAAGGGGUGUCCCUGCUGCUGUAACAGCUGGCCCAGGACCAACAGGACCACCUGGAGAGCUGUGCAGGGAGCAGGCAGGAGACACGAGGUGCAGAAGGGACCUCCUUGCUUCCUGAACAUCUCAGAGAGGAGCCAGGCUGCAGCUGGAUGCAGUCCUAGACUAGUCAAUAGUUUAUGUUUAAAGAAUAGUAUAGGUGUAACUGAGCCUUUAUACAACUGUGUUCCAUAGGAUGAAAGAUAUAUUUAUAGAAAAAUAAAGAGUUUAUUAUGAUCACCAUGAAA